GGGUAGAAAAGAUUGUCUUAUCGCCUACCUGUCAGGCCCUUGGACGUCUGGUUAGGGAAGAACAGACGUCUACUAUAUUAUAUAUGUUGUUUGCCUUAGGAACCGACGUCCUUGUUACCAACUUAUUUACGGUAAUGCCAUCGUCCAUUAAUAUACGUCGGGUCACCCUUUAACCGACGUCUUGUAGGGGACAUUAAAUAGCUUUUUUGCAUUAGUGAGGGAAGCGAGAGGGAGAGGGAAGCGCAAGAACGAAGGUUGGUUGUGUGCCUG
rnacentral:lncRNA from 1 species